AUUGGUAUAUAUUGAAUAGAUAUGAAUCCUCGGUAUUGUUUAUAAGGGAUGAUAUGUUUUACUAUAUAUUAGAUAUAUAAUUUAUAGAAAAACCCAAACUGAGAACAAUUGUGUGAACAAAACAGUAGUAAAUUAAUAUUCAAAGCAGUUAUGUUGAAUAGACAAAUGUCUGUAAAAAUGGACAGUAACUAUAAGAUUUCACAUUCCAAAAGGCAAAAUGGCCACUUUUUAAAGUAAAGAAUCAAUAGGGCUAAAUCAUAAAAAAACAAAUGUCAUCAAAUUAAGUAGGUUUCAUAAUGAAAGUGAUGCACACAAAAUGCAUGAGAAACUGUAAACCUCAUAUGAUUGUUUAUUUUUUGUUUGCUUUUAUAAGUGCCUUCACAAAGUGUCAGUAAUAUACAUUUAAAAAAACAUACUCUGAAAUAUCUAUGAUCAUACACCUAGAUGUUUACUUUCAGUGUUCAAAGACUGGUUACAUUUGACUAAAUGUUUGGAGUAUUUUUUAAUUAAUUUUGAAAACAAGUUUUACAAUUCUGCAAUUAUUGUUGAUCUCACAAGUAUUUGUGUAAUGUUUGUGUUUAAUUAAAGUUGUUUCAACAGAAUUACAAAUUCCUACAGGAGAAGGGGAAAUAAGUCUCUAUUUAAUGGGAGAUAACUCAGGAAAUAAAUCUUUUUCUAGAGGUGCUAUAUUUUGCCAAGUAUUGUAUAUUGAGAUGCUUUCAAACGAUUGAAAACUAGUGUACCAAAAAUUUAACACAUUAAAUUAGGUAUUGAGUUAAUAUCUUUUCAACUUAAAUCUUUGUUGUACUUUAUUUUAUUUUAUUGAAAUUCAACAUGUAAAGGAAUAAUUGUUUCAAUGGUGGAAAUCAUCAAAAAGGAAACAUGGCUCUCAAGAAUAUGAAAUGUCAGCUCUUAAUAAAUUUAGUUUAUAGAAAUGUCAUAUUUAUUUGAAAAGGUUAAUGCCACUCUUAUAUAAUUUUCGUCUGAUUUAAUGUGUUGAUAUUGAAUAUAUGAAUAAAAGAUGUCAGGGCACCCAUUAUAGAUAUACUGGUCCUAACGGUUGUAACAUGCUCAUAAAUAUAGGUCAGUAAGUGGUUUAAUAUCCCAAUUUAACUACAUCAAAGAUCUAUAACUAGUGAUAUCUAUGUUUUUUUUCAAUGGGAACAGUUGUCACUGAUGAUUUUUAUGAAGACAAAACACGCUUCUGGCAUACUAAAUUAUAAUCCU
rnacentral:lncRNA from 1 species